CCAGGGUAAGCGCAGGAAAGGUAGAGGCCGCUCGUCGAGAGUGGCAGCCCAAAUGGGUGGGAUCCUCGGUUCCUGGGACCCAUAAGUUU
rnacentral:sRNA from 12 species